rnacentral:rRNA from 1 species
UACGUAGGGGGCAAGCGUUGUCCGGAUUUAUUGGGCGUAAAGAGUGUGUAGGCGGCCAGGUAGGUCAGCUGUGAAAACUCGAGGCUCAACCUCGAGACGUCGGUUGAAACCGUCUGGCUAGAGUCCGGAAGAGGAGAGUGGAAUUCCUGGUGUAGCGGUGAAAUGCGCAGAUAUCAGGAAGAACACCUAUGGCGAAGGCAGCUCUCUGGGACGGUACUGACGCUGAGACGCGAAAGCGUGGGGAGCGAACAGG